UACGUAGGGUGCAAGCGUUGUCCGGAAUUAUUGGGCGUAAAGAGCUCGUAGGCGGUCUGUUGCGUCGGCUGUGAAAACCCGGGGCUCAACCCCGGGCCUGCAGCCGAUACGGGCAGACUAGAGUUCGGCAGGGGAGACUGGAAUUCCUGGUGUAGCGGUGAAAUGCGUAGAUAUCAGGAGGAACACCGGUGGUGUAGACGGCUUUCUGGACCGUAACUGACGCUGAGACACGAAAGCGUGGGUAGCAAACAGG
rnacentral:rRNA from 1 species